rnacentral:rRNA from 1 species
UGGGGAAUAUUGCACAAUGGGCGAAAGCCUGAUGCAGCGACGCCGCGUGAGGGAUGACGGCCUUCGGGUUGUAAACCUCUUUCAGCAGGGACGAAGCGCAAGUGACGGUACCUGCAGAAGAAGCACCGGCUAACUACGUGCCAGCAGCCGCGAUAAUACGUAGGGUGCAAGCGUUGUCCGGAAUUACUGGGCGUAAAGAGUUCGUAGGCGGUUUGUCGCGUCGUUUGUGAAAACCAGCAGCUCAACUGCUGGCUUGCAGGCGAUACGGGCAGACUUGAGUACUGCAGGGGAGACUGGAAUUCCUGGUGUAGCGGUGAAAUGCGCAGAUAUCAGGAGGAACACCGGUGGCGAAGGCGGGUCUCUGGGCAGUAACUGACGCUGAGGAACGAAAGCGUGGGUAGCGAACAGG